rnacentral:lncRNA from 1 species
UCCUACUGUGUAGAAGAGGGAACUAUACCCAAUAUUCUGUGAUAAACCUGAAUGGGAAAGAAUAUAAGAAAAAAUACAUAUGUAUAUGUAUAACUGAACCAUUUGGCUGUAACCAGAAACUAAUACAACAUCAUAAACCAACUGUACUUCAGUUCAAAAAACAGGCAGGAAGAACGCACAGGUGCCUCAUAGGACAGUUCUUUGAGGGCCCCAUGAAGCCCAUCCUGCUGCAGGUUUGGGCUCAUGGCCACAGGUACUGGUUCUUUUUAGAAGUGAUCAGUGCUGACACGGAAUGCUCGCUGUGUGCCAGGCACUGUGCUAAGCACUGUGUUUACAUGUAUCAUCUCACAACAACUCUAUUGAGGAGGUGCCAUUAUGCACGAGGAAACUGAGGCCCAGAGAAGCUGCAGUACCUGCCAGGGUUGCGUUGCUUUAAUCAUUGACUCUUGUAGAGAGAGCACUGCACAGGGGUUAUGAGGUUGUGUUCUGGGACAGACCAUUUGGGUUCACGCUGUACUCCGCCACUUACUAGCACUAUGAGCUUGGACAAGUUUCCCGAACUGCUUUGUGUCUCAGUUUCCUCAGCUGUAAAACAGGGAUAACAGCCUUUCCUUCCUUCUCAGGUGUGCUUAGGAUUAAGAAGUAAAAACUGUGGAGUUCCCAUUGUGGCUCAGUGAUUAACAAACCCGACUGGUAUCCAUGAGGACGCAGGUUUGAUCCCUGUCCUCGUUCAGUGGGUUAAAGAUUUGGCGUUGCCUUAAGCUGUGUUGUAGGUUGCAGACUCGGCUUGGAUCCUGCAUGGCUGUGGCAUAGGCCGGCAGCUAUAGCUCCUAUUCAACCCCUCGUCUGAGAACCUCCAUAUGCCACAGGUGGUGUGACCCUAAAGCAAAAACAAACAAAAAAGAAGUAAUGACUGUAAAGCACUUACUUGGUCCAGUGCCUGGCACAUAGUGCAUGCUUAGGAAAGAAGAGCUGAUUUGUAGACAGUGGGGAGUCAGUGUUGAGCAUUUCUUGAAGUCUGAGACUACUCAGAUAUUUUAAUAUUUUAGAAAAAAGUAAUUCUAUUGGAGUUCCCUUCGUGGCGCAGCGGAAACGAAUCCGACUAGGAACCAUGAGGUUGCAGGUUUGAUCCUUGGCCUCACUCAGUGGGUUAAGGAUCCGGAGUUGCCGUGAGCUGUGGUGUAGGUCGAAGACAUAGCUCAGAUCUGGUGUUGCUGUGGCUCUGGCAUAGGCCGGCAGCUGGAGCUCGGAUUCAACCCUAGCCUGGGAACCUCCAUAUGCUGUAGGUAUGGCCCUAAAAAGGACAAAAGACCAAAAAAAAAAAAUUCUAUUACAAAAGCAAUAAUUGAAAUAUGGCACUUAGAAAAUAGGUAGAAAUUAAACAGGGAAAAAACUAUCCCACUGUCCAAAACCAUUUCUGUUACUAUUGGGCUAUUUUCUUCUGUGCUGUUUUCAGUAUCAUUGUGAUCAUACUCUAUAAACAAUUUCGUACCCUUUUACACUUAAAAUGAUAAUAUAAUGAUGCUAUUAGCAUUAUCGUUGUCAUGUCUUUAUAAAUAUAAUUUUAAUGGCUAUAUUAGUAAUUUAUAUAUUGCCCCAUUGCUUUGUAUUUGACUAUUACAAUUAAUGUUUUUUUAAACAUCUUUGUGAAUAAACUGUAUUUUCUUAAAAUAACUAUAAUUCAAUUUUAAAAUGGUUAAAAAUGGAUUGGGUCAUUAAAUACACACUUGUAUAUAUAGUUUUAAAAAACAAUUUUUUUUAGAAUUACUUUCCACUAUGACUGACUUUACAUGUAGGCAUUUUAAGGAAUCUGUGUCUUUAUUUUAUUUUAUUUGCAAGAAAUAGAUUUGUUAAGAUAGGAUGCUUGUGAGAAAUGCAAGUGGGCAGGCAAGGGGGCUCUGCCCUGAGGGUUAAAUGGGCUAAAGUUUUGAAUCUGUGUCUUUAAAACAUCCAUGUUAAACAGUUAAAAGCAACUAUUCCUCUGACUCUCUCUGGUAGAGAAAGACUAGAGCUUAAUUUAGAAUACAACAAUGAGCUCAUUUUGAUAGGUAUUUACUAGGUGCCCAUUUUUACCAUAGGACUCUUCUAAGUACUAGGAGGGUGAGGAAAUUGUAAAAAUAAAUUUAAGAAUCAGCCUCACCUUUUAGUAAAUAUAAAGUGUGUCCCUUCUACUGCAAGUAAAGAGCUCAGACCCCUACGUGCCUUAGUCCUGGUGUGUAUGCGUGUGUGAGUGCAUGCACAUGCACACCUGCUUUUGCAACACUGCUUCCAUGCCUCAGGCAGGCUCACGUGGAGUUUCCAGUAGUGAGGGUUGAAGGCUGGAGAGCACCUUGCGAUCCUGAUUGCCCAUCACAGAUUCAUGUGACACUAAUGUUUACGAGCUGUUUGCAAAAUGUUGCUUGGUGCUGCUUAAUCUGUGGCCGCUUCUGACGAGUCCAUCUGUGGGAGGCAGGGCUGGGCCCUGGCAGGGCAUGCCUCCCUCCACAGUUAGGCCAGCGUGAGGUGCUUCUCUGAGGCUACCUGGGAAAGGUGAAGGUUGCGGGCCCUGUUUGGUUUCUUUGUUCUAGAAAUCACACUGGACUGUCAGCCUUCAUCCAGCUCAUUUUUGGGGGCUUUCUGUGAAACAUCUUUUCACAGUGUCUGUUUUAAAGGUUUAGAUUCCAAAGUCUGGAAAGAUUUAGUGACUCAGAAAGUUCUUAAUAAACUGCAUGACACCUGGCACCAUGAUUUUGAUCCCCCCCGCCCCACUUUUAGUCCUUUAGUUUGGUGGCUGAAGAGAAUCUGUGAAAUGGGUUUUUUCUCACCAUGCAAGUGCUAUGGAAGGUGGAAGAGUGGUUGAUGCACCUUCACGUAUUUGCCAGUGUUGUCUUUGGUGCCAUCCAAGAAGAGAGUGGACCAGAGUCUACCUUAGAGGGAAAUUCCUCUCUGGGGUGCAUAUGCCUUCUUGCCUGGUGGGGUGUAGAGGUCAGGAUGUAGCCUGGUCUGGGGAAAUUCCACAUGGUCUGAGCCGGGAUACCACUGCAGUCAGGGGAACAUGAGACCUUGACAGAGCAAGAUAAACAAGAGAGACAAGGCAUUUACUGAUAGCAGGGUUAUCAGGUUGCACAGUGGUGUCAGCGAUGGAAAUAGGGACUUGAGCUGAGGUCAGGGAGUGGAGCAGAGAUCCUGGGCUAGGUCAUCCCAGUGGAAAUUCCUGAUGGGCGGAUGGAGAGAGCUGAGGGUGGAGCUCAGAGAGCUCCAUGUUGGAGGGAAGCUCGUCCUGGGGAUGUGCAGUCAUGGGAGGUGUGUAUGGUUUCCAUUUGAGAAGAGGGCUAAUUCAGGCUCUCAGAUAGUAAGAAAUGUUGAGGAAGAAUUUAGGAUCAGUAGCAUGGCAUCCUGCAAAGGAGGCCAGAAGGGACGCUCAGUUUACAGCACCAAAAUGACAAGAGAAGAGAACUGAUCAUUUGUAUUAAGACCUGAAUCUGAGUCCUAGACUUUGCCGUUUACUGUGUGACCUUAGUCAAGUUACUAAAGCUUUCCGGACUUGAAUUUCUCACUGGCAAAAUGGGGGUGAUUGGAACCCUUUCUGUAUUUGGCCAUGUUGUGUAGUGUGGAUCGAAGGAGAUAAAGUAUUGGAAAGCACUCAGUACAUGUUAGUGUCAUAUACACAACUUAGAAAAUCUGCUCUGAGUCCCAAUGUCUCAAUCCAGAUCCUCUCCUGUUGUGGUAACUAUCAAUUUUUGUUACACCCUGCCUAAUUUUAAAAAUUCGCAUUGUGUAUGUGUUUUUUUAUCAUAUGUUCUCAGAUGUGUUUUUAAAAGAAGUGGUCACAAUAGUAGAAAAUUGCUUUCCUCUAUAUCCCUACAGGAAAUACUGGAAAAUGCUAAGCUAAGCCCAAUUGGGGCAGGGAGUAUGUCCCUUUUGUUCAAUACAUGACCUGCUGUGCCUGGCACAUAGUAGGUAUUACAUUAAUAUUUGUUGAAUGCAUGAACAAAUGUCUUUCCAAAUUCUUUGAGCUUGUGGAUUUUGCAUUUAAGCCAGCUGGAGGAAGGGAAUUGUAUUCAGAGCCACCCAAUUUUGCCCUUUUAGUAGAAGAUGAAGGCUAUGAUUUUAUUAGGUGGAGAGAAUUGUUAGUAAGAGAGUCAUAGACUUGGAGAUAGUAGGAGAAGCAAGGUCUAUUAUUACUACUUUUUUUUUUUUUUUAAGACAAGGUGCUUAUACACAAGGAUAUGGAGUAACUCUGGCUGGGUAGUUAGUAACAGAGGAAAAGUUGAUGAGGGCAAAAUGCAUGUUUUGUUCUUGAUACCUGUGGGAGGCAGAAGCAUGGCCUCUCAAAGAUGUUGACAUCCUAAUCCCAGAAAUUUAGGAAGAUCUUAUGUUACAGGGCAAACAUGCAGAUGGAAUUAAGGUUCUUAGUCUACCUUAAAAUUGGGAGAUUAUUUUGGAUUCUUGGAGUGGGCUCCAUGUAAUCGAAGGGUCCUUAAGUGGAAGCUAGAGGCAGAAGAGUCAAUGCCAGAGGGAUGUGAGAAGAGAAAAACUUGAUGAGCCACUGCUGACUUUGUGGAUGGAAGGGGGCCAGGAGCCGGGGAAUGUGGGCAAAGAGACAGAUUCUUCCCUAGAGCCUCUAGAAGUUCUAGAGCAUAGCCCUGCUGACACCUGCACUUGACCCAAUGAGACCCAUUUUGGACUUCUGACUUCCAGAACUAUAAGACAGUAAAUGUGUGGGCUUUUUUUUUUUUUUUUUUUUUUUUUUAAGCCACCAAGUUUAUGGUGAUUUGUUACAGCAGCCAGCUGAGGACUAAUACAGUUCCUAUAUGGUCACCAAAGGUAGGCUCUUGACUGUUCCUGAUGGUUCAGCUCUGAAGAAUAACAUGCUUUUUUGCAUUCACGUGCUUUUAUGGAGGGCUAAUUUAUGCAUCUGGAGGGUAAGGCGAAUUUAAUAGGACACAGGUUUGAAAGAAAUAGCUGUGACUGACUAAUAACUCAUCACAGGUUCCUCUUGGCCACACUGCACUUCCUUUUCUGCUACGUGAUUAUUCUGAGUGGACCCUCCUUCCUGACUGUCAAAGAAAGUGAAGUUGGUCAAGUCUUUCAUGAGUCAAACUGACAGCAAAAGUUAGCAAAAUCAUUCAGAAUAUCUUAUUGGAGUGUUUAAAUGGGCUUGUCAGUGUUGCUCAGUCUUUGAAAUAAAAGUAAAACCACCAUCUUUGUGGUUUUCUUUCCCCAGUAUUUACUUUCUGAAAAAUGGGAGCCUAUUGUGACUUUUCAAAUUCUCUUUCAUUGGCACUGCUGAUAUUAAGUCGGAGCGUUUUGGGUGAUUCGACUAUGCAUGUUGUAAUUCUAACUUUCAGCUAGUUAGUGAAUCCUUCGGUCUUUCCAUCUUUCCACAACCUGGUUUUUGUUUUCAACUUUAAAUAUGACAUAUCCCUUCCAGAUCUAGAUUCCUUUCAUUCAGUUCUGAAUGUUUAAUAAAAGUUUCAAAGGGAAACUUUUUGUAGCAUUUUCUCUUCCAAACAAGCUAGGGGGUCAUUUCUUCAAAUGAGAAUGAAACUGAAAUGUGGCCGAAUCAGCAUCUUCGCUUGAAAUGAUGAGAAUGUAUUUCUACAAAAAUAUAAACUGAACUUGGCAAUGUAAAGAAGGAACAAAGUCAUCUAUAGAAAAGCAAGUCCAAGCCCCAGGGCUUACAGAGUACCCAUUAUAAUCAUUCCAGAAAAGCGUUUUCUUUACCGGAGAACUUACCAGCUAGCUCAGCCUGGCACUGUAACAGGCUGACACUAGCUCUUACUAUUCACUACCCUUGGUGUCUGAAAAGUAUUUAUUUAUUUUUUUUUAAGCACAUUUCUCUGACCUUUGAUUCCGUGCCUCUACAGCUGGAUAUUGCCUACGGCGAAAUAUUUUCUGUGAUGAAGUUAAUUUCUGAAGCUCUCAAUUUUAAAAUUUUUGAGCCAAGUUGCAUUAGCACUAGGUCUCUGUUGACAAAGUCUUACUACUGUAAAAGUCCAAUAUGAUUUUUUUUAAAGUCCGUUCAACUCUCCUGUGAAAUAGCUAAUAGUCAAUGACAUAUUAAUUUGACUCCGACAGAGUCUCAAGAUAGCUCAGCUCUAGUGCCUUUUUUAGGGAUGAGUGUGGAAAAAAUAAGCCAUGAGAUGUGCUUGUAGCCAAAUGGAAAAAGAGGAAGUUUGGAUUCUCUUUCUCUUUCUCCGAAUAGCAGAAAUGGCCAAAUAUUUAGGAUUGAAAUAAGAAGCUGAUAGGGCGCAUGAUAGGCUUAUGUUUUUUCUCAGGUGUCACCUAAUAAUAAUGAUUAAAAACCAGCAUGAUGAGCUGGCACCACAUUUCCCUCCUGCCCCACAGGCCAAUGUUAGAAAUUGCUUCAGGAGUUCCCACCGUGGUGCAGUGGAAAUGAAUCUGACUACGAACCAUGAGGUUUCGAAUUUGAUCCCUGUCCUCACUCAGUGGGUUAAGGGUCUGGCAUUGCCCUGAGUUGUGGUGUAGGUCACAGACGUGGCACAGAUCUGAUGUUGCUGUGGCUGUAGUAUAGGCCAGCAGCUGUAGCUCUGAUUCGACCCCUAGCCUGAGAACCUCCAUAUGCUGUGGUAUGGCCCUAAAAAGCAAAAAAAAAAAAAAAAAAA